UGGAGAAAAUUAAAGAGAAUAUUUCAGGGAGGGGAAAUGACCCCUACGUGGAACAAUUUGGGGAUUCCCUAAAUCCUAGGCAGCUCCACCCAUAUUUUUCUAUCAGACAUAGCCAAUGUACUCACAUCCAACAUAAUUUGGGGUAAAAAAAUUGUUUAAAGGCUUCAGGUAUUUUAAUUGGCUCUUGAAAUGUUCUUGGGCUCUAGCCUAGGCACCAUGCCUGUAGUCCCAAUGGGUAAAACAACUGUGCUUGUUUAAAGGCAGAGAGGCAAGUGCAAUCAAGUUUAAUGCUGAAUAUGGCAAACUUAUUUUCUCUUUUGAAGCCAAGUAUCUGUGUGGAGGAUUAGUUGGAUGCAUACUUCUUCAGAGAACCAGCUGUUUUUGGAAAUGAAGAACAAAAUGGCCCAGGAGAAGAGAAAGCACAUGCUACCAAGCUGCAUGCAAGCUACGAACAGUCCAAAAUUGCGGUUGAUUUCAUGCCCAACUCUUGCUACACCUAAGAUUUGCAUAAUCCAGUGCUGGGGAGCUUUGGGGGGAAAACCAGAAUUCCACCCCUGAAGCCAAGCCAAACCUUCGGUGACUGAAGACUGGGAAAGCUGCCUUUUUCAAAUUCGAUCUAGUUGCUCUUUCCCAAUAGCAUUUAAAGGACAAACGUGUUCUGUUCUGCAGCCCUGGAACUCUCUAUUCAUGGUUAAGUCAUUACCUAGGAGGACUUUAUAAGGGUUAUUGGGAGUUUAGCUUUACAGUAAAUGUAGUAUAAUUUACACAAUAAAAAUGCAGUCCCUUGCUUAA